AUUGAACGCUGGCGGCAGGCUUAACACAUGCAAGUCGAACGAGUGGCGGACGGGUGAGUAAUGCUUGGGAAUCUAGCUUAUGGAGGGGGAUAACUACGGGAAACUGUAGCUAAUACCGCGUACCAUAGGAUGAGCCCAAGUGGGAUUAGGUAGUUGGUGGGGUAAAGGCUCACCAAGCCGACGAUCCCUAGCUGGUCUGAGAGGAUGACCAGCCAACCUGGGAUGGUGAACCGGUCCAGAGUCCCAAGGUGGGGAGCAGGGGGGAAUAUUGCCCAAGGGGGGCAACCUGACGCAGCCAUGCCGCGUGAAUGAAGAAGGCCUUCGGGUUGUAAAGUUCUUUCGGUAGCGAGGCGUUACCUACAGAAGAAGCACCGGCUAACUCCGUGCCAGCAGCCGCGGUAAUUC
rnacentral:rRNA from 1 species